GUGAGUCAUCGAAUCUUUGAACGCACCUUGCGCUCCUUGGUAUUCCGAGGAGCAUGCCUGUUUGAGUGUCAUUAAAUUCUCAACCUCACCAGUUUUGUAAUGAGACAGGUGAAGGCUUGGAUGUGGGGGUUUUGCAGGCUGCCUCAGUGCUGGUCUGCUCCCCUGAAAUGCAUUAGCGAGCUCAUAUUGAGCUUCCAUCUAUUGGUGUGAUAAUUAUCUACGCCGUGAAAUGGACUCAUGCUUGCUUCUAACCGUCCGCAAGGACAAUUUACUUUGACCAAUUUGACCUCAAAUCAGGUAGGACUACCCGCUGAACUUAAGCAUAUCAAUAAGCGGAGGA
rnacentral:misc_RNA from 1 species